rnacentral:rRNA from 1 species
GACGAACGCUGGCGGCGUGCUUAACACAUGCCAGUCGAACGGUGAAGGGACCGGUUUUUGCUGGUUCUGGAUGAGUGGCGAACGGGUGAGUAACACGUGAGUAACCUGCCCCCUUCUUCUGGAUAACCGCAUGAAAGUGUGGCUAAUACGGGAUAUUCUGCGCCUGCUGCAUGGUGGGUGUGGGAAAGAUAUUGUUUCGGUGGGGGAUGGGCUCGCGGCCUAUCAGCUUGUUGGUGGGGUGAUGGCCUACCAAGGCGGUGACGGGUAGCCGGCCUGAGAGGGUGGACGGUCACACUGGGACUGAGACACGGCCCAGACUCCUACGGGAGGCAGCAGUGGGGAAUAGUGCACAAUGGGCGCAAGCCUGAUGCAGCGACGCCGCGUGAGGGAUGGAGGCCUUCGGGUUGUAAACCUCUUUCGCCAGUGAAGCAGGCCUGUCCCUUUUGUGGGUGGGUUGACGGUAGCUGGAUAAGAAGCGCCGGCUAACUACGUG